AUGAAUGUCAAAGGAAAAGUAAUUCUGUCAAUGCUGGUUGUCUCAACUGUGAUCAUUGUGUUUUGGGAAUUUAUCACACAGAAGGCUCUUUCUUGUGGAUAUAUCACUCAAACCCAGAAGUUGAUGACAGCAGUGCUCAGAAGGGCUGGUGGUUUCUGAGCUGGUUUAACAAUGAUCCACAAUUAUCAACAAGGGGAAGAAGACAUAGACAAAGAAAAAGGAAGAGAGGAGACCAAAGGAAGGAAAAUGACACAACAGAGCUUCGGCUAUGGGACUGGUUUAAUCCAAACCCAGAGGUUGUGACAGUGACCAGAUGGAAGGCGCCGGUUGUGUGGGAAGGCACUUUCAACAAAGCCAUCCUAGGAAAUUAUUAUGCCAAAUAGAAAAUUACCGUGGGGUUGAUGGUUUUUGCUAUUGGAAUAGUGAGCAUUACUUGGAGGAGUUCAUAACAUCUGCUAAUAGGUACUUCAUGGUUGGCCACAAAGUCAUAUUUUACAUCAUGGUGGAUGAUGUCUCCAAGGUGCCGUUUAUAGAGCUGGGUCCUCUGCAUUCCUUCAAAAUGUUUGAGGUCAAGCCAGAGAAGAGGUGGCAAGACAUCAGCAUGAUGCGUAUGAAGAUCACUGGGGAGCACAUCUUGGCCCACAUCCAACACGAGGUCGACUUCCUCUUCUGCAUGGAUGUGGACCAGGUCUUCCAAGACCAUUUUGGGGUGGAGACCCUAGGCCAGUCAGUGGCUCAGCUACAGGCUGGCGGUACAAGGCAGAUCCCUAUGACUUUACCUAGGAGAGGUGGAAAGAGUCAGCAGGAUACAUUCCAUUUGGCCAGGGGAUUUUUAUUACCAUGCAGCCAUUUUUGGAGGAACACCCAUUCAGGUUCUCAACAUCACCCAGGAGUGCUUUAAGGGAAUCCUCCUGGACAAGAAAAAUGACAUAGAAGCCGAGUGGCAUGAUGAAAGCCACCUAAACAAGUAUUUCCUUCUCAAUAAACCCUCUAAAAUCUUAUCCCUAAAAUACUGCUGGGAUUAUCAUAUAGGCCUGCCUUCAGAUAUUAAAACUGUCAAGUGAUCGUGGCAGACAAAAGAGUAUAAUUUGGUUAGAAAUAAUG
rnacentral:sRNA from 1 species